rnacentral:rRNA from 1 species
UACAGAGGGGGCAAGCGUUGUUCGGAAUUACUGGGCGUAAAGGGCGCGUAGGCGGCCGCCUAAGUCAGACGUGAAAUCCCUCGGCUCAACCGGGGAACUGCGUCUGAUACUGGGUGGCUUGAAUUCGGGAGAGGGAUGCGGAAUUCCAGGUGUAGCGGUGAAAUGCGUAGAUAUCUGGAGGAAUACCGGUGGCGAAGGCGGCAUCCUGGACCGACAUUGACGCUGAGGAGCGAAAGCCAGGGGAGCAAACGGG